rnacentral:rRNA from 1 species
AGCGAACGCUGGCGGCAGGCCUAACACAUGCAAGUCGAACGGACCCUUCGGGGUUAGUGGCGGACGGGUGAGUAACACGUGGGAACGUGCCUUUAGGUUCGGAAUAGCUCCUGGAAACGGGUGGUAAUGCCGAAUGUGCCCUUCUGGGGAAAGAUUUAUCGCCUUUAGAGCGGCCCGCGUCUGAUUAGCUAGUUGGUGAGGUAACGGCUCACCAAGGCGACGAUCAGUAGCUGGUCUGAGAGGAUGACCAGCCACACUGGGACUGAGACACGGCCCAGACUCCUACGGGAGGCAGCAGUGGGGAAUCUUGCGCAAUGGGCGAAAGCCUGACGCAGCCAUGCCGCGUGAAUGAUGAAGGUCUUAGGAUUGUAAAAUUCUUUCAACGGGGACGAUAAUGACGGUACCCGGAGAAGAAGCCCCGGCUAACUUCGUG